rnacentral:rRNA from 1 species
AUACAUCGUCUGCCCUAACGCUGUCCCCUCCCCACCCACCCUCCGGCGGCGGACACCGAUCUCCUCGCCGGACUUGUCCCCUAAACCAGCUCCGCUCCAGAUGCUACCUUCCAGAUGAAGAAGGAAGAUGAAAUUCAUUCAGCAGUCGGAUUCGAAGAAGGAAGGGACAGGUGCCAAUUUCGUUCUGUCUUGGGAUUCCAAGAGGAAAAAGGAGCUGUUUUUGUAUGUCUGCGUCGCGUGAGAUAAUAGUUAAUCCGUCGGCUUACGGAUUCUACACCGGCUUGAAGAGGAUUCGAAAACCUCCUCCGUCUCCGUCUCUUCUUUUGGGAUUGGGAUCCGAGGAGGCUAUAUAAUAAGAUCAGGCUGGGCGCCGGCGAUUGUCGCACACGGAGGGGUCAUCCGUUCAAGAUUCGUUUUUGUUUGUGUUCUGUUUAUCCUCGCAAGUUGGUCUCUUUUGUCAUCGCAUCAAGAUGAAGUUUAACAGGGGUCGCCGCCACCGACGGAACUCGAAGGCAGAAGUUGAUAGUGGAGACAUGCUAAGCAAGCUGCCUGGCAAUAUACAAGCUUGUAAUGGGGACAGGCUAAGUGAGCUGCCCGCCGAUGUGCUGCUCAACAUUCUCGAGAGGGUGGGCACACUUGAUGCUGUAAGAACCUGCAUCCUUUCGAAGAAAAUGCAUAGGCUGCCAACUAUGCUCUCGCAGAUCGUCAUUGAUCUCAGCCCUCGUGAUUUGUUUCAAAAAAGUGAUGUCGUGGCUGAUGUGACCAACAAGAUUCUUAGUAGGAGGCCUCCACAAAUCACCAUUCGCAAGCUGAAGCUCAAAUUUGUCUUGAGUCCUCCUUGCUGUCAUUCCAUAGGCAAAUCCGUUGGCCUGGCCAUGGCAACACAUAAAUUUGAUGCAGCUGAGUUUGAGAUCUUGACACCGAAGGAUUCCCAUAUUUGCACUGAUGACCAUCGUGUGCUCUUUGCUGACCAGUUCAAUAAUUUUGUUCGUGAUUAUCCAGAUGCAUUUGCUGGUCUCACGCGUCUGCAUCUACGGAACAUGAGCUUUGGUGAAUCAGACAUACCCAACAUUCUUCGCUAUUGCAAGGUGCUGGAGUCACUGUCUUUCUUCAUGUGUGGCGCGGGGAUCAGUUCGGUGCUGCAUGUGGAACAUACUCGUCUCACCGAACUUGUUAUCUCCUAUUGUGAAUUCAAAAGAGCAAAAAAAAGUAAUUGGCCCUGUGAUGAAAGUCCGCUGAUUCUUGGUUUUGUCCCGCAACUUUCGAAGCUAAGCCUUCCUCAAGCUUGUCUUUCACGGAAGACCCUCAACCUAAGCCAGUUGCUUGCUAAUGUCCCCACUGUAAGCGAUUUGUAUUUGGAGUUUCGAAGCGAAAAGGUUUGGAUUCGACCAGAAUGCCCAAAAGUGCUUGCUCCGGUGCUCACCCAACUACGGUCUGUGAGUCUGGACAAUCUUCCCGAAGAAUGUGACAUCUCUUGGACAAUGUUCCUUCUUGAAGCUGCACCAUCCGUAGAGGACCUUUGCAUCACAGUAUGGGAUCAUAAGUGCCGGAAGGAGUCACAAAAGAGUCGCUCCAGGAAAAUGGAUGUGCAUUGGGAGCCAUCUGAUCCUGAUUUUAAGCACAAGAAUCUGGCUAGGCUAACUAUCUACGGUUUCCAGUCCGAUGACAAUUUCAUCGGAUACGUUAGACGAGUCAUUCAAGCUGCGGCGAACAUCAGGGAGGUAUCCCUGCACGACAGGAAGGUAUGCCGAUUGUGUUCUGAAAAGUUUCCUCAUCUUGGUGUUCGUCCUUCGAGUUAUCCACGGACCAGCAAGGAAGUGGAUUUGUUGAUGAAGAAUAUGACAGCGGCGGCAACGACUUCUCCUGAUAUUCACUUCUGCUCAUAAGGUGGAGUUCAGCAUGUCGUAUGUGGUUGGAAGGAUUCCCCUAUCUCGAAGCCCCCAUUAGUAGCUACUACAUCGGCGCUAUUGCAUAUUUUGCAGAAUGUAUCUUGGCUACCAAUUUGUUGGAAUGACUCAUUUAGCUAUUUUCGACAAAUGAAUCGGAUAAAAUAAGCACGUCUAUGCUGUGGUUGUGCAGUAACGUGCUUAUGUGAAUACAGUCAAUAUUCAGUUCGAAUGGUGCUCUGUUAUUUUUCCUAUCUUGUAUUUUUAUGAGAGCCACGUCAGUCGGCACUCGCUGUUUUUCGUGGACGCGCAAACACAAACUCGCUGCUCAGUUCCGGCGCGACGAGGCUAAAUUUC